rnacentral:rRNA from 1 species
GACGAACGCUGGCGGCGUGCUUAACACAUGCAAGUCGAACGGUGAAGCGCCUUCCUUUUUGGUGUGUGUUUAUGAGUGGCGAACUGGUUAGUAACACGUUAGUAACCUGCCCCCUUCUGCUGGAUAACCGCAUGAAAUUGUUACUAAUACGUGAUAUUCUGGAUCUGUCGCAUGAUGGGUCUGGGAAAGAUAUUGUUUCGGUUGGGGAUGGGCUCGCGCCCUAUCAGCUUGUUGGUGGGGUGAUGGCCUACCAAGGCGGUGACGGGUAGCCGGCCUGAGAGGGUGGGCGGUAACACAGGGACUGAGACACGGACCAGACUCCUACGGGAGGCAGCAGGGAGGAAUAUUGAACAAUGGGAGCAAGCAUGAUGCAGCGCCGCCGCGUGAGGGAUGGAGGCCUUAGGGUUGUGAACCUCUUUCGGUAGUGAAGAAGGGCUGCAUCGUCUGUGGGUGGGUUGACGGUAGCUGGAUAAGAAGCGACGGCUAACUACGUG